GGCGGAAGAACCGCCGAAGUCGGUUGCCAGAAACAGACUUCAAACCACUUCAUGUGGCGAUCAUUAAGAGUGAGGU
rfam:Gammaproteobacteria bacterium RIFCSPHIGHO2_12_FTLL_37_14 rifcsphigho2_12_scaffold_21240, whole genome shotgun sequence.